rnacentral:rRNA from 1 species
UGGAUAGCUAUGUAGGGAAGGGAUAAGCGCUGAAAGCAUCUAAGUGCGAAGCCCACCUCAAGAUGAGAUUACCCAUUCGUAAGAAUUAAGAGCCCAGAGAGAUGAUCUGGUAGAUAGGCUGGAAGUGGAAGAGUUGCGAGACUUGGAGCGGACCAGUACUAAUCGCUCGAGGACUUUACCAAAA